CGGACAGUUCGAGAGGUGUUAGUCCUCGCAAAAACCAAUUCCUCCAAGUUUGUCUUUCUUUGUGAGACGAGGCAAACUAAAGAAAAGAUGGAGAAGCUUAAAUGGCGGCUGGGUUUAAAGGAUUUCAGUGGUGUUUGUAGUAAUGGAAGAAGUGGAGGUUUGGCCCUAUUUUGA
rnacentral:rRNA from 1 species